CCUACGGGAGGCAGCAGUCGGGAAUAUUGCGCAAUGGAGGAAACUCUGACGCAGUGACGCCGCGUGCAGGAAGAAGGUUUUCGGAUUGUAAACUGCUUUAGACAGGGAAGAAAAAAGACAGUACCUGUAGAAUAAGCUCCGGCUAACUACGUGCCAGCAGCCGCGGUAAUACGUAGGGAGCAAGCGUUAUCCGGAUUUAUUGGGUGUAAAGGGUGCGUAGACGGAGAAGCAAGUUAGUUGUGAAAUCCCUCGGCUUAACUGAGGAACUGCAACUAAAACUACUUCCCUUGAGUACUGGAGAGGAAAGUGGAAUUCCUAGUGUAGCGGUGAAAUGCGUAGAUAUUAGGAGGAACACCAGUGGCGAAGGCAGCGUGCCGUGUCGCCACUGACGCUGAGGCACGAAAGCGCGGGGAUCGAACAGGAUUAGAUACCCCUGUAGUC
rnacentral:rRNA from 1 species